rnacentral:misc_RNA from 1 species
GAUGAAGAACGUAGCGAAAUGCGAUAAGUAAUGUGAAUUGCAGAAUUCAGUGAAUCAUCGAAUCUUUGAACGCACAUUGCGCCCCCUGGUAUUCCGGGGGGCAUGCCUGUCCGAGCGUCAUUGCUGCCCUCAAGCACGGCUUGUGUGUUGGGCCCCCGUCCCCGGUUUCCCCCGGGGACGGGCCCGAAAGGCAGCGGCGGCACCGCGUCCGGUCCUCGAGCGUAUGGGGCUUUGUCACCCGCUCUGUAGGCCCGGCCGGCGCCAGCCGACACCCAACUUUAUUUCUAAGGUUGACCUCGGAUCAGGUAGGGAUACCCGCUGAACUUAAGCAUAUCAAUAAGCGGAGGA